UUACUUAUACUAAAGUUAUUGUGCGAAAACCAAGAAAAAUGCUUAUUUGGGCCCUUUUUGGAUCCUAAGUCCUAAACUGUUGGGACCAAAACUACCAAAAUCAAUCCCAACCUUCCUUUUAUAGUCAUAAACCUUGUGUUUAAAUUUCAUGGAUUUCUAUUUACUUAUACUAAAGUUAUAGUGCGAAAACCAAAUGUCUUCGGACGACGACGACGA
rnacentral:lncRNA from 1 species